UACGUAGGCAGCGAGCGUUGUUCGGAGUUACUGGGCGUAAAGCGUGCGUAGGCGGUUUUGUAAGUUUGGUGUGAAAUCUCCCGGCUCAGCUGGGAGGGUGCGCCGAAAACUGCAAGGCUGGAGUAUGGGAGAGGUAGGCGGAAUUCCUGGUGUAGCGGUGAAAUGCGUAGAUAUCAGGAGGAACACCUGUGGUGUAGACGGCUUACUGGACCAUGACUGACGCUGAGGCACGAAAGCGUGGGGAGCAAACAGG
rnacentral:rRNA from 1 species